rnacentral:rRNA from 1 species
AGUUUGAUCCUGGCUCAGGAUGAACGCUAGCGGCAGGCCUAAUACAUGCAAGUCAAAGGGGUAGCAAUACCACUGGCGCACGGGUGCGUAACGCGUAUGCAACCUACCGUUCACUGGGGGAUAACGUCGGGAAACCGGCGCUAAUACCGCAUAAAGCAGGGGCUGGGCAUCCAGAUACUGCUAAAGUUUCGAUGGUGAACGAUGGGCAUGCGUCUGAUUAGCUAGUUGGCGGGGUAAUGGCCCACCAAGGCGACGAUCAGUAGGGGAUCUGAGAGGAUAAUCCCCCACACUGGCACUGAGAUACGGGCCAAACUCCUACGGGAGGCAGCAGUAGGGAAUAUUGGGCAAUGGGCGAAAGCCUGACCCAGCCAUGCCGCGUGCAGGAAGACGGCCCUCUGGGUUGUAAACUGCUUUUGUCGGGGAAGAAAAGGGCCGUGCGCGGCACACUGACGGUACCCGAUGAAUAAGCCACGGCUAACCACGUGCCAGCAGCCGCGGUAAUACGUAGGUGGCAAGCGUUGUCCGGAUUUAUUGGGUUUAAAGGGUGCGUAGGUGGUUGGUUAAGUCCGUGGUGAAAGACGAUCGCUCAACGAUUGCAGUGCCAUGGAUACUGACCGACUUGAAUGACGUUGAGGUGGGCGGAAUUGACCGUGUAGCGGUGAAAUGCUUAGAUAUGGUCAAGAACCCCAAUUGCGUAGGCAGCUCACUGGACGUCUAUUGACACUGAG